rnacentral:lncRNA from 1 species
UCCACACCGAACCAUACCAUAGUUCCUUAGACCUAUCGGUUCAAUCUCAUACCAAGUCAUGCAUUCACAUUCCAUAUACUAAUCAAUAGGAUAUUUGAGGCAUUUUCAUACGUCAUUUUAUUUUCGUUACAAUCAUACAACUAAACGACCUUUCACCUAUUCCACGAUAAAUCUUAUGUACGUGACUUCAAUUAUAAUUGUCACAUAGGUUCAAACUUACCAAGCUCAACUCCAAAUAUAAACAUAGCGCCUAUUGGCCAUGAACUCAAGGUACUUACCCGAUCCGCUGUCCGUGAUCAACUCAAU